GAUGAACGCUAGCGAUAGGCUUAACACAUGCAAGUCGAGGGGCAGCACAAGGUAGCUUGCUAUCUGGGUGGCGACCGGCGCACGGAUGCGUAACGCGUAUGCAACUUGCCCUAUACAGGAGGAUAACCCGUCGAAAGACGGACUAAUACUGCGUAUGCUCACAACUUGGCAUCAAGUGGUGAGGAAAGAAAUUCGGUAUAGGAUAGGCAUGCGUCCCAUUAGCUUGUUGGUGAGGUAACGGCUCACCAAGGCAACGAUGGGUAGGGGAACUGAGAGGUUUAUCCCCCACACUGGUACUGAGACACGGACCAGACUCCUACGGGAGGCAGCAGUGAGGAAUAUUGGUCAAUGGGCGCGAGCCUGAACCAGCCAAGUCGCGUGAAGGAUGACUGUCUUAUGGAUUGUAAACUUCUUUUAUACGGGAAUAACAAGAGUCACGUGUGACUCCCUGCAUGUACCGUAUGAAUAAGCAUCGGCUAACUCCGUG
rnacentral:rRNA from 1 species